AAGUGCUGAAAGCAUCUAAGCACGAAACUUGCCAAGAGAUGAGUCAUCCCUGACUUUAAGUCAGUAAGGGUUGUUGUAGACUACGACGUAGAUAGGUCAGGUGUGUAAGUGUAGUGAUACAUUGAGCUAACAGAUACUAAUUGCCCGAGAGGCUUAACUAUACAACGCUCAAG
rnacentral:rRNA from 1 species